AGAAAAAAGGUAAUACCUAUUAAUGUAGAUGUGACCAUUCAAAAAAUGGUAAUAUAGAUCAUCGGUUUCUCCAAAACUCAAUAUUAUUGAUCAAUCAAGAAUUCUAAACUAGAUUCUGCCUCAUGCCAAAUCUGGUUGGUUUUCUACAUGAAUACUUUAGCUUCAUUUAGGUUGGUAUAGGGGUGUCAGAAUCUCAACCAUAUGCUAAGAAUAAAUAAAUAAAUAAAUUCUUAAGUAAUUUUUCUUUUCUUGAAUCACCCAACUUUUAGGGAUUUAUUGUCUGCAUGGCGGGCAUUGUUUCUUUUCUAUGUGGUUCUGCUACAUGCAAUCUGUAUCCACUUUGUUCCCCAUCCAUUUCUUAUUGUGCCACUUCUCAUUUCUGCAAACAGAAAAGAAGAGUUCAUUUGACACUAGAACUUCCUUGGAGUGCUGACCGGGCAAUUCAACAGUUUGGAAGAACUCAUCGAUCAAAUCAAGCUUCUGCACCAGAAUAUAGGUAGGCUAAACUAUAUAUGUGCAACUUGUGUGCAUUCAUAUUUUCUGUAAUGUCUGAGUGAUCAACUAAUGGGUAAAGUACUUUGGCUUAGUUUUGAUUCAUUGCAGGAUACUUUGAUAUUAGCACAAUGCAUGUGCAUACACUCAUGCACACACACACAUACCCCUCAGGAUCCACUUAACAUUUUGUUGCACUUUCUUAAUUUUUUGUGAUUUAUAUUUUUGUGAACUGACUGUUAGAUUUAUUCUUCUGGACAUGUAGAUCGUGCAUGCCCAACUUCAAGGCAUUUCAAUAAAUAAAGAUUUGUCAAAAAAUAAUUCUAAAAACUGAAUAUUUUAUUCAAUAUAGUUCAGAGCCAAAAUGCAGCAUCACUUAUUUAUAACUGAUUGAUGUGAAAUUUGGCAUGGCAUGUUAAUUGUACAUGGAUCAAAUAGUAAAUCCAACAGUUAUUUUGUGGAAAUAUUCAUCAUGGAAAAAGUUAUGGAACAGUGUAAGUUACUGUGUAAUUUACACUUGAUUAUGAGGUGCAGUUUCAAUCUUUAUUAGAUAAUGUUAUCAUGCAUUUUUGGGUUUCACUGAUUUUAUUGUCAUGCAAAAAUCAAUGAGAUUCACUUCAUCACAUUUGCACAAUUUCUUUGAUGGUGCUGUUUUUUGAUUUUUUUUUUUCUU
rnacentral:misc_RNA from 1 species